AGCAAAUCGAACCGAACCCGAACCGUAUCGAAUGCUUUGUGGCUAUAGCCAUUCCAGCAUUUUAUGCCGUCUCUCUUCGACUCCCUCUCCAGUCUCCACUCUCUCCACCCCAACCUUUUCGGCCUCUCCAUCUCACUAGACACCAGUCACAUCCCAUCGUUUCUUCAAUCAUCAGACCAAUCUGUUUUUCCUUUGAGCAGCCAAAAGCAUAAAAGUGAGAGCGAAGGAAGAAAGCUUUAUCUCAGCUCACUCAUGCUCAAGCUACCUCCUUCAUAGCUACUCUGUCAUCUUCGGUGAACCCUCAAUCAUUCUUCAACUUCAACGCCUCCAAUGGUGGUUCUACACUUGUAUUAGGUUGCAAUCUAUUUAACUUCUUUAAUCACGAAGAAGUGAAGAAGAAACUGGGGAGUAGUUAUCAAUAGCAGUGGUCUUCAA
rnacentral:misc_RNA from 1 species